GUCGAGCGGAUGACGGGAGCUUGCUCCUUGAUUCAGCGGCGGACGGGUGAGUAAUGCCUAGGAAUCUGCCUGGUAGUGGGGGACAACGUUUCGAAAGGAACGCUAAUACCGCAUACGUCCUACGGGAGAAAGCAGGGGACCUUCGGGCCUUGCGCUAUCAGAUGAGCCUAGGUCGGAUUAGCUAGUUGGUGGGGUAAUGGCUCACCAAGGCGACGAUCCGUAACUGGUCUGAGAGGAUGAUCAGUCACACUGGAACUGAGACACGGUCCAGACUCCUACGGGAGGCAGCAGUGGGGAAUAUUGGACAAUGGGCGAAAGCCUGAUCCAGCCAUGCCGCGUGUGUGAAGAAGGUCUUCGGAUUGUAAAGCACUUUAAGUUGGGAGGAAGGGCAGUAAGUUAAUACCUUGCUGUUUUGACGUUACCGACAGAAUAAGCACCGGCUAACUCUGUGCCAGCAGCCGCGGUAAUACAGAGGGUGCAAGCGUUAAUCGGAAUUACUGGGCGUAAAGCGCGCGUAGGUGGUUUGUUAAGUUGGAUGUGAAAGCCCCGGGCUCAACCUGGGAACUGCAUCCAAAACUGGCAAGCUAGAGUACGGUAGAGGGUGGUGGAAUUUCCUGUGUAGCGGUGAAAUGCGUAGAUAUAGGAAGGAACACCAGUGGCGAAGGCGACCACCUGGACUGAUACUGACACUGAGGUGCGAAA
rnacentral:rRNA from 1 species